rnacentral:piRNA from 1 species
UGAAAAAGGAUUACAUUAUAA